rnacentral:rRNA from 1 species
CCCUGGCUCAGGACGAACGCUGGCGGCGUGCCUAAUACAUGCAAGUCGAGCGGAUCUUGUCCUUCGGGACAAGAUUAGCGGCGGACGGGUGAGUAACACGUGGGUAACCUGCCUGUAAGACUGGGAUAACAUCCGGAAACGGAUGCUAAUACCGGAUACGCGGUUUGGUCGCAUGACUGAACCGGGAAAGAUGGAGCAAUCUAUCACUUACAGAUGGACCCGCGGCGCAUUAGCUAGUUGGUGAGGUAACGGCUCACCAAGGCGACGAUGCGUAGCCGACCUGAGAGGGUGAUCGGCCACACUGGGACUGAGACACGGCCCAGACUCCUACGGGAGGCAGCAGUAGGGAAUCUUCCGCAAUGGACGAAAGUCUGACGGAGCAACGCCGCGUGAGUGAUGAAGGUUUUCGGAUCGUAAAGCUCUGUUGCCAGGGAAGAAUGCUUGGGAGAGUAACUGCUCCCAAGGUGACGGUACCUGAGAAGAAAG